AACUGUUGCAGCAGCAGGAUUUACUGCCUGAGCGAAGGUCUCUGGGGCCUUCAUGGCAUAGCUCUGUUUGGUCUGGAUGGAGGAAGAGCUUGCCGCAGACGAUCCUUUCUCCAGAGGCAAAUUUGUCUUGAGGUCUACCAAUUUUGUGGGCAUUGGUGGAGAUAAUUUGGGAAAUUGUAUUUCUGUCAAAGCAGAGAAUCGGUUGGGAGUUUCUGUCUUGACGGUCGGCCUCUGUGGUACUGUGGGCCGUAAAGGAUUUGAGGCUGGAUUUGGAGAAUCGAAUGGUCUAGCCAUUCUUUGUUGUUCCGUCUUGGGGCUGUUGCCCGGCAGUGUUGGUCUCAUGGCCCUGUAGAAAUUCUCUUGUCAGAAAAUCGGGAAGGGAAUUGUGUUCUCCUUUUAUGAAUUCAAUUUGAAAAUCAAAGCUAGAUAGGAGAGCUUGCCAUCUAGCAAAUAUUUGUUUUGAAACGAGAUUUUUAACAUCUUUUUGUAAAAUCUCUUUGGCUGAUUUACAAUCAACUCUUAGAAGAAANNNN
rnacentral:lncRNA from 1 species